rnacentral:rRNA from 1 species
GUGCCAGCAGCCGCGGUAAUACGGAAGGUCCGGGCGUUAUCCGGAUUUAUUGGGUUUAAAGGGAGCGCAGGCGGAGGGUUAAGCGUGACGUGAAAUGUAGCCGCUCAACGGCUGAACUGCGUCGCGAACUGGCUUUCUUGAGUGAGUACGACGUCAGCGGAAUUCGUGGUGUAGCGGUGAAAUGCUUAGAUAUCACGAAGAACUCCGAUUGCGAAGGCAGCUGACGAGUCCUUUACUGACGCUAAAGCUCGAAGGUGCGGGUAUCGAACAGGAUUAGAUACCCUGGUAGUCCGCACGGUAAACGAUGGAUGCCCGCUGUUGGCGAUACAAUGUCAGCGGCCAAGGGAAACCGUUAAGCAUCCCACCUGGGGAGUACGCCGGCAACGGUGAAACUCAAAGGAAUUGACGGGGGCCCGCACAAGCGGAGGAACAUGUGGUUUAAUUCGAUGAUACGCGAGGAACCUUACCCGGGCUUGAACUGCAGCAGAACGAUUCAGAGAUGAUGAGGUCCUUCGGGACUGCUGUGGAGGUGCUGCAUGGUUGUCGUCAGCUCGUGCCGUGAGGUGUCGGCUUAAGUGCCAUAACGAGCGCAACCCUUUUCGCCAGUUGCCAUCAGGUGAUGCUGGGCACUCUGGGGACACUGCCACCGUAAGGUGUGAGGAAGGUGGGGAUGACGUCAAAUCAGCACGGCCCUUACGUCCGGGGCUACACACGUGUUACAAUGGGUGGUACAGAGAGUCGAGUGCCGGCAACGUCGCUCCAAUCCUUAAAGCCAUCCUCAGUUCGGAUUGGGGUCUGCAACCCGACCCCAUGAAGCUGGAUUCGCUAGUAAUCGCGCAUCAGCCAUGGCGCGGUGAAUACGUUCCCGGGCCUUGUACACACCGCCCGU